CUACGGGGUGCACCAGUGGGGAAUAUUGCACAAUGGGGGAAACCCUGAUGCAGCAACACCGCGUGGAGGAUGACACUUUUCGGAGCGUAAACUCCUUUUAUAUAGGAAGAUAAUGACGGUACUAUAUGAAUAAGCACCGGCUAACUCCGUGCCAGCAGCCGCGGUAAUACGGAGGGUGCAAGCGUUACUCGGAAUCACUGGGCGUAAAGAGCGUGUAGGCGGGUUAAUAAGUCAGAAGUGAAAUCCAAUGGCUCAACCAUUGAACUGCUUUUGAAACUGUUAACCUAGAAUAUGGGAGAGGUAGAUGGAAUUUCUGGUGUAGGGGUAAAAUCCGUAGAGAUCAGAAGGAAUACCGAUUGCGAAGGCGAUCUACUGGAACAUUAUUGACGCUGAGACGCGAAAGCGUGGGGAGCAAACAGGAUUAGAUACCCCGGUAGUC
rnacentral:rRNA from 1 species